rnacentral:rRNA from 1 species
UGAGUUUGAUUCCUGGCUCAGAUUGAACGCUGGCGGCAGGCCUAACACAUGCAAGUCGAGCGGUAACACAGGGAGCUUGCUCCUGGGUGACGAGCGGCGGACGGGUGAGUAAUGUCUGGGAAACUGCCUGAUGGAGGGGGAUAACUACUGGAAACGGUAGCUAAUACCGCAUAAUGUCGCAAGACCAAAGAGGGGGACCUUCGGGCCUCUUGCCAUCAGAUGUGCCCAGAUGGGAUUAGCUAGUAGGUGGGGUAACGGCUCACCUAGGCGACGAUCCCUAGCUGGUCUGAGAGGAUGACCAGCCACACUGGAACUGAGACACGGUCCAGACUCCUACGGGAGGCAGCAGUGGGGAAUAUUGCACAAUGGGCGCAAGCCUGAUGCAGCCAUGCCGCGUGUAUGAAGAAGGCCUUCGGGUUGUAAAGUACUUUCAGCGAGGAGGAAGGCAUUAAGGUUAAUAACCUUGGUGAUUGACGUUACUCGCAGAAGAAGCACCGGCUAACUCCGUGCCAGCAGCCGCGGUAAUACGGAGGGUGCAAGCGUUAAUCGGAAUUACUGGGCGUAAAGCGCACGCAGGCGGUCUGUCAAGUCGGAUGUGAAAUCCCCGGGCUCAACCUGGGAACUGCAUUCGAAACUGGCAGGCUAGAGUCUUGUAGAGGGGGGUAGAAUUCCAGGUGUAGCGGUGAAAUGCGUAGAGAUCUGGAGGAAUACCGGUGGCGAAGGCGGCCCCCUGGACAAAGA